rnacentral:RNase_P_RNA from 1 species
UUCCAUACACCUGGGAAGGUCUGAGGUGCUUUCAGCUCUAAAGGCAAGAUGUGAGAACAUCGAGGUGGUCAUCAGAAACGAAUCCUUGGAUCCUUUACGCCGAAGAAACUCAACGUGGAGGUUGGAUUCAAGGGUUGAAACGGGUCACUUAGCAUGUUGCUAUAAUUAAGUCCAAUACGCAAAAUCUACCAAUCGGGGUAGACAACUCAAUUCAGACUAAUCUG